GACGAACGCUGGCGGCGUGCCUAAUACAUGCAAGUCGACAACAGCGGCGGACGGGUGAGUAACACGUAAGGAACCUACCGAUAAGCGGGGGACAACAUCCGGAAACGGGUGCUAAUACCGCAUACUUAUCGAUGGCCUUUCGGUCAAUUAGCUCGUUGGUGGGUUAACGGCCUACCAGGGCACUGAUGCAUAGCCGACCUGAGAGGGUAAUCGGCAAAAUUGGGACUGAGACACGGCCAAAACUCCUACGGAAGGCAGCAGUAGGGAAUCUUCCGCAAUGGGCGCAAGCCUGACGGAGAAACGCCGCGUGAGUGAAGAGGGUUUUCGGAUCGUAAAGCUCGGUGGUAAGAGAAGCGGUAUCUAACCAGAAAGCCACGGCUAACUACGUGCCAGCAGCCGCGGUAAUUC
rnacentral:rRNA from 1 species